GAAAUAUUAUGAAAUAAAAUUUCUAAUUUUAUUAAAAGUAUAAUUAAUACUUAUAUUUCU
rnacentral:tRNA from 1 species